rnacentral:rRNA from 1 species
AAUCAUGCAAGUCGAGCGGACAGAUGGGAGCUUGCUCCCUGAUGUUAGCGGCGGACGGGUGAGUAACACGUGGGUAACCUGCCUGUAAGACUGGGAUAACUCCGGGAAACCGGGGCUAAUACCGGAUGGUUGUUUGAACCGCAUGGUUCAGACAUAAAAGGUGGCUUCGGCUACCACUUACAGAUGGACCCGCGGCGCAUUAGCUAGUUGGUGAGGUAACGGCUCACCAAGGCGACGAUGCGUAGCCGACCUGAGAGGGUGAUCGGCCACACUGGGACUGAGACACGGCCCAGACUCCUACGGGAGGCAGCAGUAGGGAAUCUUCCGCAAUGGACGAAAGUCUGACGGAGCAACGCCGCGUGAGUGAUGAAGGUUUUCGGAUCGUAAAGCUCUGUUGUUAGGGAAGAACAAGUGCCGUUCAAAUAGGGCGGCACCUUGACGGUACCUAACCAGAAAGCCACGGCUAACUACGUGCCAGCAGCCGCGGUAAUACGUAGGUGGCAAGCGUUGUCCGGAAUUAUUGGGCGUAAAGGGCUCGCAGGCGGUUUCUUAAGUCUGAUGUGAAAGCCCCCGGCUCAACCGGGGAGGGUCAUUGGAAACUGGGGAACUUGAGUGCAGAAGAGGAGAGUGGAAUUCCACGUGUAGCGGUGAAAUGCGUAGAGAUGUGGAGGAACACCAGUGGCGAAGGCGACUCUCUGGUCUGUAACUGACGCUGAGGAGCGAAAGCGUGGGGAGCGAACAGGAUUAGAUACCCUGGGUA